rnacentral:lncRNA from 1 species
CUCCAAGCUUAUUACCGUGCACAGAGGAGUGCAGAUGAUCGCAAUGCUGCACGAACAACAAUGCGCCUCUUACAGAGUAUUAUUCGGCUUUCUCAAGCUCAUGCCCGCCUCAUGCUUCGAGAUGUUGUCACAGUUCAAGAUGCUGUUGUUGCUGUUGUUCUCAUGGAAUCAACAAUGGAGGGAGCUGCCUUACUGGGAGGUGUCAAUGCCCUUCAUGCUGCUUUCCCUGACAAUCCAGAAGAGGAACAUAAAAUCCAAG